rnacentral:rRNA from 1 species
UACGGAGGGUGCAAGCGUUAUCCGGAAUCACUGGGCUUAAAGCGUGUGUAGGCGGGUCGUUAAGUGUCUUGUGAAAUCCCCCGGCUCAACCGGGGAAUGGCUGGGCAUACUGGCGAUCUUGAGCAGUCUAGGGGCAGAUGGAACAAGUGGUGGAGCGGUGAAAUGCGUAGAUAUCACUUGGAACGCCAACGGUGAAGACAGUCUGCUGGGGACUUGCUGACGCUGAGACACGAAAGCCAGGGGAGCGAACGGG